UACGUAGGGGGCAAGCGUUGUCCGGAAUCAUUGGGCGUAAAGCGCGUGUAGGCGGCUUGGUAAGUCUGCUCUGAAAGCCCGGGGCUCAACCCCGGAACUGCCUUUAAGACUGCAUCGCUUGAAUCCAGGAGAGGUGAGUGGAAUUCCGAGUGUAGAGGUGAAAUUCGUAGAUAUUCGGAAGAACACCAGUGGCGAAGGCGGCUCACUGGACUGGUAUUGACGCUGAUGUGCGAAAGCGUGGGGAGCAAACAGG
rnacentral:rRNA from 1 species